rnacentral:rRNA from 1 species
AGUGAACGCUGGCGGUAGGCCUAACACAUGCAAGUCGAACGGCAGCACAGUAAGAGCUUGCUCUUACGGGUGGCGAGUGGCGGACGGGUGAGGAAUACAUCGGAAUCUACUUUUUCGUGGGGGAUAACGUAGGGAAACUUACGCUAAUACCGCAUACGACCUACGGGUGAAAGCAGGGGAUCUUCGGACCUUGCGCGAUUGAAUGAGCCGAUGUCGGAUUAGCUAGUUGGCGGGGUAAAGGCCCACCAAGGCGACGGUGCGUAGCUGGUCUGAGAGGAUUAUAAGGCAAAUUGGAACUGAGACAUGGUUCAGAAGACUAAGGGAAGCAACAGUGGGGAAUAUUGGAAGACGGGCGCAAGCCUGAAACAGGCAUACGGGCUAGGGGAAGAAGGAUUUCGGGUUGUAAAGCCCGUUUGGUGGGAAAGAAAAGGAGUAGGUUAAGACCACGAGGCUCUGACGGUAGCAAAAAAAUAAGCACCGGCUAACUUCGUG